rnacentral:rRNA from 1 species
UUUAACUGAAGAGUUUGAUCAUGGCUCAGAUUGAACGCUGGCGGCAGGCUUAACACAUGCAAGUCGAGCGGGGGAAGGUAGCUUGCUACUGGACCUAGCGGCGGACGGGUGAGUAAUGCUUAGGAAUCUGCCUAUUAGUGGGGGACAACAUCUCGAAAGGGAUGCUAAUACCGCAUACGUCCUACGGGAGAAAGCAGGGGAUCUUCGGACCUUGCGCUAAUAGAUGAGCCUAAGUCGGAUUAGCUAGUUGGUGGGGUAAAGGCCUACCAAGGCGACGAUCUGUAGCGGGUCUGAGAGGAUGAUCCGCCACACUGGGACUGAGACACGGCCCAGACUCCUACGGGAGGCAGCAGUGGGGAAUAUUGGACAAUGGGGGGAACCCUGAUCCAGCCAUGCCGCGUGUGUGAAGAAGGCCUUAUGGUUGUAAAGCACUUUAAGCGAGGAGGAGGCUACUUUAGUUAAUACCUAGAGAUAGUGGACGUUACUCGCAGAAUAAGCACCGGCUAACUCUGUGCCAGCAGCCGCGGUAAUACAGAGGGUGCGAGCGUUAAUCGGAUUUACUGGGCGUAAAGCGUGCGUAGGCGGCUUAUUAAGUCGGAUGUGAAAUCCCCGAGCUUAACUUGGGAAUUGCAUUCGAUACUGGUGAGCUAGAGUAUGGGAGAGGAUGGUAGAAUUCCAGGUGUAGCGGUGAAAUGCGUAGAGAUCUGGAGGAAUACCGAUGGCGAAGGCAGCCAUCUGGCCUAAUACUGACGCUGAGGUACGAAAGCAUGGGGAGCAAACAGGAUUAGAUACCCUGGUAGUCCAUGCCGUAAACGAUGUCUACUAGCCGUUGGGGCCUUUGAGGCUUUAGGGGCGCAGCUAACGCGAUAAGUAGACCGCCUGGGGAGUACGGUCGCCAGACUAAGACUCA